GCUCAGGACGAACGCUGGCGGCGUGCUUAACACAUGCAAGUCGAACGGAAAGGCCCUGCUUUUGUGGGGUGCUCGAGUGGCGAACGGGUGAGUAACACGUGAGUAACCUGCCCUUGACUUUGGGAUAACUUCAGGAAACUGGGGCUAAUACCGGAUAGGAGCUCCUGCUGCAUGGUGGGGGUUGGAAAGUUUCGGCGGUUGGGGAUGGACUCGCGGCUUAUCAGCUUGUUGGUGGGGUAGUGGCUUACCAAGGCUUUGACGGGUAGCCGGCCUGAGAGGGUGACCGGCCACAUUGGGACUGAGAUACGGCCCAGACUCCUACGGGAGGCAGCAGUGGGGAAUAUUGCACAAUGGGCGGAAGCCUGAUGCAGCAACGCCGCGUGCGGGAUGACGGCCUUCGGGUUGUAAACCGCUUUCGCCUGUGACGAAGCGUGAGUGACGGUAAUGGGUAAAGAAGCACCGGCUAACUACGUGCCAGCAGCCGCGGUGAUACGUAGGGUGCGAGCGUUGUCCGGAUUUAUUGGGCGUAAAGGGCUCGUAGGUGGUUGAUCGCGUCGGAAGUGUAAUCUUGGGGCUUAACCCUGAGCGUGCUUUCGAUACGGGUUGACUUGAGGAAGGUAGGGGAGAAUGGAAUUCCUGGUGGAGCGGUGGAAUGCGCAGAUAUCAGGAGGAACACCAGUGGCGAAGGCGGUUCUCUGGGCCUUUCCUGACGCUGAGGAGCGAAAGCGUGGGGAGCGAACAGGCUUAGAUACCCUGGUAGUCCACGCUGUAAACGGUGGGUACUAGGUGUGGGGUCCAUUCCACGGGUUCCGUGCCGUAGCUAACGCUUUAAGUACCCCGCCUGGGGAGUACGGCCGCAAGGCUAAAACUCAAAGGAAUUGACGGGGCCCCGCACAAGCGGCGGAGCAUGCGGAUUAAUUCGAUGCAACGCGUAGAACCUUACCUGGGUUUGACAUGGAUCGGGAGUGCUCAGAGAUGGGUGUGCCUCUUUUGGGGUCGGUUCACAGGUGGUGCAUGGCUGUCGUCAGCUCGUGUCGUGAGAUGUUGGGUUAAGUCCCGCAACGAGCGCAACCCUUGUUCACUGUUGCCAGCACGUUAUGGUGGGGACUCAGUGGAGACCGCCGGGGUCAACUCGGAGGAAGGUGGGGAUGACGUCAAGUCAUCAUGCCCCUUAUGUCCAGGGCUUCACGCAUGCUACAAUGGCUGGUACAGAGAGUGGCGAGCCUGUGAGGGUGAGCGAAUCUCGGAAAGCCGGUCUCAGUUCGGAUUGGGGUCUGCAACUCGACCUCAUGAAGUCGGAGUCGCUAGUAAUCGCAGAUCAGCAACGCUGCGGUGAAUACGUUCCCGGGGCUUGUACACACCGCCCGUCAAGUCAUGAAAGUUGGUAACACCCGAAGCCGGUGGCCUAACCGUUGUGGGGGAGCCGUCGAAGGUGGGACUGGUGAUU
rnacentral:rRNA from 1 species